CACUCCUGCGGGAGGCAGCAGUGGGGAAUAUUGCACAAUGGGCGGAAGCCUGAUGCAGCAACGCCGCGUGCGGGAUGACGGCCUUCGGGUUGUAAACCGCUUUCGCCUGUGACGAAGCGUGAGUGACGGUAAUGGGUAAAGAAGCACCGGCUAACUACGUGCCAGCAGCCGCGGUGAUACGUAGGGUGCGAGCGUUGUCCGGAUUUAUUGGGCGUAAAGGGCUCGUAGGUGGUUGAUCGCGUCGGAAGUGUAAUCUUGGGGCUUAACCCUGAGCGUGCUUUCGAUACGGGUUGACUUGAGGAAGGUAGGGGAGAAUGGAAUUCCUGGUGGAGCGGUGGAAUGCGCAGAUAUCAGGAGGAACACCAGUGGCGAAGGCGGUUCUCUGGGCCUUUCCUGACGCUGAGGAGCGAAAGCGUGGGGAGCGAACAGGCUUAGAUACCCGAGUAGUCC
rnacentral:rRNA from 1 species